UGAAAGAGUAAGGCUUUUAGGAAAGUGAGGGUUUUACAAUGGGUGUGUUGAGUCCCUUUACUCAGUGUAAAGAUGGGGCAGAACUGGUUGCAAUAACAAUCUAGAUGGAGAAAAGGAUGAGCGGGGUUACAAAUUGCUCCUAUAUCACAUGAGCAAGAUGAUCAUGUAUAGGAGAAAGGAAUAACAGCAUGGGAGAACUGGAAGCAUGAGUUGGAAAACAUAUUCCAUGUAUUCAAGAUGCAUUUAAUUGGCCUGAACGUGAAUGUCUUGCUCUGCAUCACGUGCAGUCUACGUGCAAUGUGGAUCACUCCGUGAAGGAUGUCAAGGAACAGGACAUAUGAGCAUAAACAAGCCCAGCAAGAGUCAACAAAGUCAAGCUGCAGUGGAAAAAGGCAAACAACAGACUCUGAUGUAUAAACAAGAGUACAUCUUGGGAGAAGCAUGACACCCUUCCACUUCUUAGCUACUGGGAACGCCAUGGCCUCGUUUUGUUUAGGUCUGUAAGAGGAAAUCAGUGGUCUGGCUGGUGAGCUCCCAGGGCAGACAACAAGGACUGUCUGGAACAUGGGGAGGUUAAAUGAAUUAGGGUUGCUUGGAGCCCUUGGAGGCAGGGCUGUGGGAUAAGAUGUUUCUUGAUCAGCUAUGUCUAACUAUGUCAAGAACUCUUGAAGAGUUGAGGGGAAUGAUGUUUGUGCUGUUGUCAUGAGAGGUAAGAUUAGAAGCAGACAAGUCAACUGCAGCAAAUAAGUUUCAGUGUAAAUGUCAGGGAGAACAUCCCAAACAGGACAGACCGUGGGACAGGCUGCUGUGGGAGGCAACAUGGCUGAAAAACUGCUUGGAAAUCAUGGGAGUUACAGUGAGGUUAUGUGGUGUAAAUGAGAAUUGAGCCUCUGAUUCCCUCCAUAAGUCAAUGCUGGUCCUAAAAAUCAUAGCAGGACCACUGUGACAACAGACUUCUGCUUUACAAAAGUACUCACAGAAUUUGCAGGAUGAUAUGUUUGUUUUUGGAAAAUGCCUCAUUGGAAAGUAUAGGAUCAGACUUCCUAUGAGAAAGGGCAUCAGAUACAACGAUCUGAACUUCUGAGUUUUUCAGUGUGCGCCUACACCUGGUAGAUGUGAGCAGGCACCCUAACUGCAGAUCUAAGCAUAGAGGAGGUACCAUUUUCUCAGGUUGCUCCUAUGGUGAAGCCAAAUCAUAUAAUAGGUUUUAUAUGUUCCAAAGCUCAUUAUCAUUAAAAGGUUUAAAUGAUGUCUUUGUGACUGUGCUGCUUACAGCUGUGCUGUUGGACUACCUCAUGCAGAUUCAGCUUUACAGAGUACGAGCAAGCUACCCAGGGAGUGUUUUCAUUAGUAGCUACAACUCCGUGCCAAGCUUUGUCUUUCAUAUCAUAUUUCUGCUGAGCUUUCCUGCUUCUCCACCAUUUUCUUCCCCAAGGAUAUAAUCAGAGGUUACAAAACCAGAAAAAUGAUACUGAAUGUGCAGCAGGCACAUAAUAAUGCACAGAGAAAGCAAGAUUGUGAUAACCGAGAUAACCAGGACACUUUUGAUUUCUAGUUAUGUGUUUCUAUGAAAGCAGAGCUCAUUUUUGUUUGUCCAAACAGAUGUUGAACAAAUGAACUAUUUAUCACUGAGUAAAUUGUUUGCUGAAGGCGUGCUGUUAGGCAGAAGUACAGCUCUACACCCAGUACCUUUACAAUCUAUCUAUAGAUUAAGCUGGUAUCGUCCCAAUACCUCCUAUACUUGCUGUACUUAUAGCUUUGUCAUGUUUUGACUGCUAUACCUGUCUCUACAAGGGCAUUGGGAGUGCAGGACUAGGAGAGCGCACAACACCCCAAGAGGUUGUGCUGAAGAUUAAACUUUGAUGGGGCCAACUGCGACAGUCUACUGAAGAGCAUCUAACCAUAACACCUCCCCAACAGGUGUCUACUUAAUCUAUAAUCUAGGUAAGAGACACUCGCUGCAGGCUGUGACUGUUACCAGUGAUAGCUGACAACUAUUGGCCUGAUUAUUUGGAACAGAAACACCCACUGUUCUUUGGGAAGCUGACAUAGCUGCAAGAUGGAAGUUGAUGACAUGGAUAAUAAAUAGGGGAUUUCUGUAGUUCUUGGUAAGAAGACUUGUUACCUCCACACAGGCAUCUCGGAGAGAGAAAGAGCAAGGAUAUAUGGAUGUCUCCACAUCUUUAAACUUUCAGCUCUUGAAAUUUUUUUGGCUCUGCUCCACCUCUUCAAAUAACCCAUUAACAGUUACAGAAGGAGGUCUAUUUGGGAUGUUCAGAAACACCGCAUGCUGCUAGUCACUGCUUUAAGUGACUGUGAGAAUGACAGAGACUAUACCUGGUACUCCACAUGUUUGUUGAGCAGAAAUACAACCCAGCCUUACCUGCAGGAUUACAUGGAAACAGUGGUAAGUGUAGGGAGAGUUACCAGUUUUGCAUACCCACAUCUGUAUGUCUUGAAUGAAAGCACAGCAGUUUGUUAUUUUGUGUUCUACAGCUUGCAGCUGCGUGUAUAAACACUUUACAUUUGAAAUCCUCCCAGAUCUGUGCGGGUGAUGUGAAAUCCCCAAUGAUGUAGGUCAUAUAUCCUGGCAGGGGUUCAACUCAGCAUCUCCAAAUGAGUGUUGAUGAGGUAUGCAGACUCAUCAGAUGCUGUCUGUAUUUCCAUUCUUCUGGGGUGCAGAUGCCCAUGAAAGAAGACACGGUGCUGGGCCAGAGCAAGUACUAGAACUGCUGCCCUUGAGCCAUUUUAGCUUUACCAUCUGGGAAACAAUCGAUUGCAUCCAUUUAAAAAAAAAAAAAAAGUUCUGCAUUAUUAGUUUCUUAUUUAUUUAUUUAUUUAUUUAUUUACUCCUUGGCAAAAACAGUGAUUUUAAAAAUUACCAAAAACUGGUGCAUGCCAUGCUGUGCUUAGAGCCAGGUGUGGAAUUUUCCCUGGGGGCCACCGAUGGCUUUUGGCUGAGGCACCUUCCCAAUGUGAGGAUGCAAUGCUCAGCUGCCAACUGCACAUACUUUGACUAGUUAGGCCAUCUUCAAGCACUUAUGAGGAAUACUUUAGAAUCAGAAAUGGAGAUGAAUUUCCAUUCUUGCUUUCUGAAAAUCCCAGAGUCCCAGCGAGCUGUAAAUAAUCUGUUCCUUUCAAAAUGCACUCACUGCCGUCUGGUGAGCUAAUUGUGAUUGUAAGAGCUUACUGGUAGGUUCAAACUGGAAAAAACAUUACCAAUAGUCAAAAUGAAAAAAAAUCUGCAGAUACAGUAUGGAUGUAACUUGGGUAAUGCCUAGAGAGCCUGGCAGGUCUGAGAACCAGAUUACACUUUUUUUUUUUUUUUUAAAUCAUCUUUUUCCUUGUGCCAAAAAACAAGAGUGUAACUCUAGUCCUACUCUUCAGCAAGCUGUAUUGGACUUUAUCUGUUUUUAUUAGAGUGGUCAGUUUUUGUGCAAGUCUUUCCAUACGUAAAAUUAAGUGCAGAAAAUAAAGGAGGUAGAAAGAUCAAA